rnacentral:misc_RNA from 1 species
GAUGAAGAACGCAGCGAAAUGCGAUACUUGGUGUGAAUUGCAGAAUCCCGUGAACCAUCGAGUCUUUGAACGCAAGUUGCGCCCGAAGCCUCGGCUAAGGGCACGUCUGCCUGGGCGUCACGCAUCGCGUCUCCCCCAAACCGCCAAGGCGGAGGGGAAGGAAGAUGGCUUCCCGUGCCUCACCCGGGCGCGGUUGGCCUAAAUUUGGAGCCCGCGGCACUUAGCUCUCGCGGCGAUAGGUGGUGAACAAGGCCUUGGCCGUGCAAACAACCCGCUGCGAAGCUCUAUGUCACGUGCGCUCGUACCCUUUGAAGUUGCCUUUGGUGACUUAAAACCUUUGCGACCCCAGGUCAGGCGGGGCUACCCGCUGAAUUUAAGCAUAUCAAUAAGCGGAGGA